UGGUGGAGUGAUUUGUCAGGUUAAUUCCGUUAACGAACGAGACCUCGGCCUAUUAAAUAGUGGUAGAUAUCUUCGUGAUAACUAUACACUUCUUAGAGGGACUUCGUGUGUUUAGCACGAGGAAGUUCGAGGCAAUAACA
rnacentral:rRNA from 1 species